rnacentral:rRNA from 1 species
UCCGUAGGUGGAUAAUUAAGUCAGAGGUGAAAUCCUGCAGCUUAACUGUAGAACUGCCUUUGAUACUGUUGAUCUUGAGUCAUUAUGAAGUGGUUAGAAUGUGUAGUGUAGCGGUGAAAUGCAUAGAUAUUACACAGAAUACCGAUUGCGAAGGCAGAUCACUAAUAAUGUACUGACACUGAGGGACGAAAGCGUGGGGAGCGAACAGGAUUAGAUACCCUGGUAGUCC